UUCCACAGGAGGCCUACACACCUCCACUUGUGCUGCCGCCAUGUCUCUAGUGAUCCCUGAAAAGUUCCAGCAUAUUUUGCGAGUACUCAACACCAACAUCAAUGGGCGGCGGAAAAUAGCCUUUGCCAUCACUGCCAUUAAGGGUGUAGACCGAAGACAUGCUCAUGUGGUGUUGAGGAAAGCAGACAUUGACCUCACCAAGAGGGCGGGAGAACUCACUGAGGAUGAGGUGGAACGUGUGAUCACCAUUACACAGAAUCCAGCCAGUACAAGAUCCCAGACUGGUUCUUGAACAGACAGAAGGAUGUAAAGGAUGGAAAAUAUAGCCAGGUCCUAGCCAAUGGUCUGGACAACAAGCUUCGUGAAGACCUGGAGCGACUGAAGAAGAUUCAGGCCCGUAGAGGGCUGUGUCACUUCUGGGGCCUUCAUGUCUGAGGUUAGCACACCAAGACCACGGCCACCGUGACUGCACCAUGGGUGUGUCCAAGAAGAAAUAA